rnacentral:rRNA from 1 species
AGACAGAGGGUGCAAACGUUGUUCGGAAUUACUGGGCGUAAAGCGCGUGUAGGCGGCUAUGCAAGUCGGAUGUGAAAGCCCGCGGCUCAACCGUGGAAGUGCAUCCGAAACUGCGUGGCUAGAGUCCCGGAGAGGAAGGUGGAAUACUUGGUGUAGAGGUGAAAUUCGUAGAUAUCAAGUGGAACACCGGUGGCGAAGGCGGCCCUCUGGACGGUGACUGACGCUGAGACGCGAAAGCGUGGGUAGCAAACAGGAUUAGAUACCCUGGUAGUCCACGCCGUAAACGAUGAGUGCUAGGUGUCAGAGGCUUUGACCCUUCUGGUGCCGAAGCUAACGCGUUAAGCACUCCGCCUGGGGAGUACGGCCGCAAGGCUAAA